AUGUCACAAUACUUACUUACUAGUACAUUCAGCACACUACUAUCAUACUACAAUAUUUCCUGCAACCGAACACAUUUACUUGGACUCUCUCUUGAUUAUCUCAGACUCCCAAAGGGCGAGCUCCGCCUCCCUUGCAAAGACCUCCUUGUGCCUCUGCUCCUCAAGAAACGCAUUUGCGUCCGCCGUUGCCUUCUUCUGCUGGAUGCACCGGACCAAGCAAUCCUCCAGAUCUUUGCCCAAUUUGUCCAGCUUUGCGGUGACAAGGUUACAGGCGGCCAAUUGGCAAUCGGCCUCCCAGCGGUCCUUGGCGACCUGCGCUAG
rnacentral:rRNA from 1 species